rnacentral:rRNA from 1 species
CAGCAGCCGCGGUAAUACGUAGGGUGCAAGCGUUAUCCGGAAUUAUUGGGCGUAAAGAGCUCGUAGGCGGUUUGUCGCGUCUGCUGUGAAAACUGGAGGCUCAACCUCCAGCCUGCAGUGGGUACGGGCAGACUAGAGUGCGGUAGGGGAGGUUGGAAUUCCUGGUGUAGCGGUGGAAUGCGCAGAUAUCAGGAGGAACACCGAUGGCGAAGGCAGAUCUCUGGGCCGUAACUGACGCUGAGGAGCGAAAGCGUGGGGAGCGAACAGGAUUAGAUACCCCCGUAGUCCCUGUCUCUUAUAU